rnacentral:rRNA from 1 species
UACGUAGGGUGCGAGCGUUAAUCGGAAUUACUGGGCGUAAAGCGUGCGCAGGCGGUUCGUUAAGUCAGCUGUGAAAGCCCCGGGCUCAACCUGGGAACUGCGGUUGAAACUGGCGAACUAGAAUCUGGCAGAGGGGGGUGGAAUUCCACGUGUAGCAGUGAAAUGCGUAGAGAUGUGGAGGAACACCGAUGGCGAAGGCAGCCCCCUGGGCUAACACUGACGCUCAUGCACGAAAGCGUGGGGAGCAAACAGG